UACGUAGGGUGCGAGCGUUGUCCGGAUUUAUUGGGUUUAAAGGGUGCGUAGGCGGCUUUGUAAGUCAGUGGUGAAAUACUCCAGCUUAACUGGAGGGGUGCCAUUGAUACUGCGGAGCUUGAGUACAGAUGAGGUAGGCGGAAUUGACGGUGUAGCGGUGAAAUGCAUAGAUAUCGUCAAGAACACCGAUAGCGAAGGCAGCUUACUGGGCUGUAACUGACGCUGAUGCACGAAAGUGUGGGGAUCAAACAGG
rnacentral:rRNA from 1 species